rnacentral:rRNA from 1 species
AAACAUGUCUUUUUGAAUUAAAUUUAAAGUCUGACCUGCCCACUGAAUAAUUUUAAAUGGCCGCAGUAUUUUGACUGUGCAAAGGUAGCAUAAUCAUUAGUCUUUUAAUUGGAGGCUGGUAUGAACGGUUGGACGAAGUAUAAGCUGUUUCAUAUAAAUUUAUAAUAGAAUUUUAUAUUUUAGUUAAAAAGCUAAAAUUUUAUUAAAAGACGAGAAGACCCUAUAAAUCUUUAUAUUUAAUAUAAACUAAAUUUUUUUGAUUUAUUUUAUUUUUUUUAUAUUAAUUAUUUUGUUGGGGUGAUAUUAAAAUUUAAUGAACUUUUAAUUUUUUAAACCAUUAAUUUAUGAAUUAUUGAUCCAUUAAUAUUGAUUAUAAGAUUAAGUUACUUUAGGGAUAACAGCGUAAUUUUUUUUGAGAGUUCAUAUCGACAAAAAAGUUUGCGACCUCGAUGUUGGAUUAAGGUAUAAUUUUGGGUGUAGCCGUUCAAAAAUUAAGUCUGUUCGACUUUUAAAUCCUUACAUGAUC